rnacentral:rRNA from 1 species
AACGAACGCUGGCGGCAGGCUUAACACAUGCAAGUCGAACGCCCCGCAAGGGGAGUGGCAGACGGGUGAGUAACGCGUGGGAACAUACCCUUUUCUACGGAAUAGCUCUGGGAAACUGGAAUUAAUACCGUAUACGCCCUACGGGGGAAAGAUUUAUCGGGGAAGGAUUGGCCCGCGUUGGAUUAGCUAGUUGGUGGGGUAAAGGCCUACCAAGGCGACGAUCCAUAGCUGGUCUGAGAGGAUGAUCAGCCACAUUGGGACUGAGACACGGCCCAAACUCCUACGGGAGGCAGCAGUGGGGAAUAUUGGACAAUGGGCGCAAGCCUGAUCCAGCCAUGCCGCGUGAGUGACGAAGGCCUUAGGGUUGUAAGGCUCUUUCACCGAUGAAGAUAAUGACGGUAGUCGGAGAAGAAGCCCCGGCUAACUUCGUGCCAGCCGCCGCGGUAAGAC